rnacentral:lncRNA from 1 species
GCAAAUCCUAUAUAGAAAGUAAGUUCCGUGAGUUGAAGUUGAAGCAUAGAUGUUAUGGAAAUUUAGAUAAAUAUCAACACAUUUUAUAAUAUUUUCAGAGAGCUUAAUAUUAUUGCAACAACAAAGAAGGCUGUAUUUGGAAAUCGGGUUGGGAUUUGAGUUAAAGCUUCAAAAUAUGUGAAAAAGCUUAUACAACAAAUCAUCUUACAGAUCGCCUACAUUUACAUUUACAUGCAAUGAUAAAAGAAUUCUCUCUAGGCCCCCUAUGAGGAUAUUCUCUCCUAUCAAAAUAAAUGCAUUGAGUUCAUAAAUUCAGUAAGCCAUGAUGUUUUAAAAAUAUUUGGGUGAUGUAAAUUGCUCUUGUACACUGUAGGAGAUGUACUUUUAUUUAUAUUACUGACUUUACAGAGAUUUUAUUUGUACUACCGGCUUCUGCAAUUACAAUGGAUUUCCAGAAUUAAUGAAGUGCCAGCAUGAGCUCAGAAACUUUCUGUCACCCAUUUCAGAACAGAUAUCACCCAGAAAUUAAAGUGAACUUCUCCAGGCAUAUACAUCUGUGAAGCCAUAACAGACUAAAAAAAUCAAUAUUGAAAUCUAUAUGGGCUUUUACUAAAGAUUAAACUAAACAUGUACUUAAAACAUUUUAAUGCAAACAUAAUUGUAAGUGCUUCUUGGUCAACAAAGAAUUCUCAGUUUGACAUAAUAGUUCUUUCUGCAAUUUCUGUUUUUUUUUUCUUUUUUAAACAGAGGUACAAGGUAUAUGAAAUAUGAAGGGCAGAAAGUAUAUAACUCAAUGUGAUAUGCCAUCACUUUCUAGAUAAUUCCGAACAUUUUAAAAGGCUUUACUGUGCCCCUUUUCAGUCAUAGGCCCCAGAUAUAACAACUAUUUCUGACUUCUGACUUCUAGUAUUAUAGAUCAGUUUUGCCUAUUCUUUCAUCCCUUAAAAAUAGAAUCAUACAGAAUAAUCUUUGUGUUGGCUUUUUUCACUCAUCAGUAUGACUGACUUUCAUGUACUAUUUGCAUUUAGCAGUAAUUAUUCUUUUUUGUUGAUGCACAAUGUUCAGUUAUAUGAGUAUACCACAAUUUAUGCAACCA